UAAAAAUGGUUUUAAAUAACUUUGGAUAUCACACUAUUGGAACAAACAACAACAACAACAAAACCAGGACUCUAGCUAAAAACAAAUGUAUUCAUGAGGAUUGCUACCCAACAUCAAGCGCAACAAGAGUUACUUACAUGGAGCUAAACUGUUAAAGGACUAAAAUAAUUUUUCAUGAUAUUUAAAAAGAUGUUUGACUUUUUAUGUUUCAUUCUUCAGAGUCAAAACAGCUUAUUUUUGGAAACCUCUUAGCUUACAACAUAUUGGGUAAUUUUGUGAGCAAAAUUGGAAAGAUUUGUCUUUCUCUAUCCCCAAUUUCUCUAAAAAUAAGAAACCAUUAGUGGGUAUUCUUAAUUUACGUCACUAUAGUUAUUUUCAUCACUUUCAUAAGGAUCUAUUUUCUUUUAUAACAGGACACAAUUGGAGAUACUGCUUAUUUUGCCAGGGCUUUGACUGGAAUGGUAUAUUUUCAGAUAGGCCCAGAAUGAUUUGAGGGUUGAUACUGGCUUAAUAGAGCUGAUAAAAAGUCCCUUGGAAAGACUGCUCAGAAAUGUCCAUGCAUUUUAUUUAAAAGUUCAUGAUCUGUGCCCCUGCAAACUGAAACUAGACAACUUACAUAAACUUUUGGAGAAAUCAUAGCAACUUAUAUAUAACAACCUCUGUGCCUGCUGAUGUAUGGACUACAUAACAGGUGUUUACGAACACUGCUUUAUGAACACUGGAUUCAGAGUAUAACUUAGAGAAACCUGUCAGAUUGCCACUGCAAUUGGAAGAUGCUUCAGAGACUCUCGAAAGAUGAAUCUGCAGACCUCUCCAGACAUUAAAGAAUUCCAGCACUUUGAGAGGCCAAGGCAGAAGGAUUGCUUGAAUCCAGAAUUGCAAGACCAGCCUGACCAACAAUGGAGACCACAUCUCUACAAAAAAUAAAAUAAAUGAUCCAAGUGCAGUGUGGCAUGCCUGUAGUCUCAGGUAUGUGGGAGGUUGAGGUGGGAGGACUGCUUCAGUCCAAAAGUUCAAGGCUGAAGUUAGCUGUGAUCAUGCUAUUAUACUCAGCCUGGGUGACAGAACAAGAAAACUGUGUCAGAAAGAAAGAGAAAGAGAGAGAAAGACAGAAAGAGAGAAAGAGAACAGGGGUAAGCAGCAAAAGGUCUCAGGCAUCUUUAGAAAACUGCCCAAACAAAUUUUCCUUCGCUGGCCUCAAAACCUUUCAAGAUGUGUAUCGUUCCAUAAAAGAAGGACAUGCCAAUUGUAAAUGCAGGUAUCCAAUCAAAAUUUAGCUUCUAAAACUAAAACCUUUUAAGUUUCAUUCAGAUAUUUGUCUUCUGAAGUAUAGAACAAAGACCCUAUAUUUCUGACCUGCCUUUUCCCUUGUAAGGAAAUAUAUGAAUACUGAGCCCCUGAAUCCUCUUCAGAGAGAACACGAGCCACAGAGGUUUUCUGUGACUUACGUUUUCCCAGAGUGCAACCUUGAGCUCUGGCUCAAUAAAUGUCAGUUGGUCAAGAUCCUUGCCUGAGCCACUCAUUUUGGAUAACCACCACAGAUCCUGCAUAACCAUCCUCUUUUUUUUGCCAAGGAGAUGUGUACCUUGGUGAGUCACUCACUUGAUGAGCCAACCACUGUUCUCUUUUUCCUUCCUUUUCCACUCCCACCACUCAGUGCUGUGUGCUCCGGUCUGACCCUAGCUCCCAGGUUGUUAGCAUUGGUCUAAGAAAGCCAGACCAGGAGGGUCAGGUUGAAAAGAAAGUCAGAGGUCAACAGUCAUGGAAAGAGGCAGAUGGGGCUGUCAUCGCUCAAAGCCCAUCCACUCUGCAUUUUAUGACUUUUUCUGGAUUUGGAAUCUCCUUCUCUUUGUGACCAUCUAGGAAGUAACCCUCCUCCUACCUUCUUCUCAUGACAACUUUUGUCCCUAGUGCACCCAUUUAUGGCCAAAUAAUGGCCAUACACAUAGUUGACAAUUGAGUGAAAAUGACUUUUUUGUGAGACUCUUGAUCUGGCUGCUUUAUCCCAAAAGAGGUUUAUAAAAGCCAGCUUUUG